rnacentral:rRNA from 1 species
AACGAACGCUGGCGGCAUGCCUAACACAUGCAAGUCGAACGAGACCUUCGGGUCUAUUGGCGCACGGGUGCGUAACGCGUUGUAACCUUCCUUUAGGUUCGGAAUAACUCAGAGAAAUUUGUGCUAAUACCGGAUGAUGUCUUCGGACCAAAGAUUUAUCGCCUUUAGAUGGGCCCGCGUUGGAUUAGCUUGUUGGUGGGGUAAAGGCCUACCAAGGCGAGGAUCCAUAGCUGGUCUGAGAGGAUGAUCAGCCACACUGGGACUGAGACACGGCCCAGACUACUACGGGAGGAAGCAGUGGGGAAUAUUGGAAAAUGGGCGAAAGACUGAUCAAGCAAUGCCGCGUGAGUGAUGAAGGCAUUAGGGUAGUAAAGCUCUAUUAACCGAGAUGAUAAUGACAGUAUCGGGAGAAUAAGCACCGGCUAACUCCGUG